AAAUAUAUCUUAGGGAGGAAAAGAAACCAACAGGGAUUACCUCAGUAACGGCGAGUGAAGCGGUAACAGCUCAAAUUUGAAAUCUGGCCUCACGGUCCGAGUUGUAAUUUGUAGAGGAUGCUUCGAGCAUGGUCUGGCCUAAGUUCCUUGGAACAGGACGUCAUAGAGGGUGAGAAUCCCGUAUGCGGCCAGGUGCCUACGCUCAUGUGAAGCUCCUUCGACGAGUCGAGUUGUUUGGGAAUGCAGCUCAAAAUGGGUGGUAAAUUUCAUCUAAAGCUAAAUAUUGGCCAGAGACCGAUAGCGCACAAGUAGAGUGAUCGAAAGAUGAAAAGCACUUUGGAAAGAGAGUUAAACAGUACGUGAAAUUGUUGAAAGGGAAGCGCUUGCAACCAGACUUGCGCGCGGCCGAUCAUCCGGUGUUCUCACCGGUGCACUCGGCCGUGCUCAGGCCAGCAUCGGUUUUGGCGGCUGGAUAAAGGCCCUAGGAAUGUAGCUCCUCUCGGGGAGUGUUAUAGCCUAGGGUGCAAUGCAGCCUGCUGGGACCGAGGACCGCGCUCGGCUAGGAUGCGGCGUAA
rnacentral:rRNA from 1 species